AAAUUGAAGAGUUUGAUCAUGGCUCAGAUUGAACGCUGGCGGCAGGCCUAACACAUGCAAGUCGAACGGUAACAGGAAGCAGCUUGCUGCUUUGCUGACGAGUGGCGGACGGGUGAGUAAUGUCUGGGAAACUGCCUGAUGGAGGGGGAUAACUACUGGAAACGGUGGCUAAUACCGCAUAACGUCGCAAGACCAAAGAGGGGGACCUUCGGGCCUCUUGCCAUCAGAUGUGCCCAGAUGGGAUUAGCUUGUUGGUGAGGUAACGGCUCACCAAGGCGACGAUCCCUAGCUGGUCUGAGAGGAUGACCAGCCACACUGGAACUGAGACACGGUCCAGACUCCUACGGGAGGCAGCAGUGGGGAAUAUUGCACAAUGGGCGCAAGCCUGAUGCAGCCAUGCCGCGUGUAUGAAGAAGGCCUUCGGGUUGUAAAGUACUUUCAGCGGGGAGGAAGGUGUUGUGGUUAAUAACCGCAGCAAUUGACGUUACCCGCAGAAGAAGCACCGGCUAACUCCGUGCCAGCAGCCGCGGUAAUACGGAGGGUGCAAGCGUUAAUCGGAAUUACUGGGCGUAAAGCGCACGCAGGCGGUCUGUCAAGUCGGAUGUGAAAUCCCCGGGCUCAACCUGGGAACUGCAUUCGAAACUGGCAGGCUUGAGUCUUGUAGAGGGGGGUAGAAUUCCAGGUGUAGCGGUGAAAUGCGUAGAGAUCUGGAGGAAUACCGGUGGCGAAGGCGGCCCCCUGGACAAAGACUGACGCUCAGGUGCGAAAGCGUGGGGAGCAAACAGGAUUAGAUACCCUGGUAGUCCACGCCGUAAACGAUGUCUACUUGGAGGUUGUGCCCUUGAGGCGUGGCUUCCGGAGCUAACGCGUUAAGUAGACCGCCUGGGGAGUACGGCCGCAAGGUUAAAACUCAAAUGAAUUGACGGGGGCCCGCACAAGCGGUGGAGCAUGUGGUUUAAUUCGAUGCAACGCGAAGAACCUUACCUGGUCUUGACAUCCACAGAAGAAUCCAGAGAUGGAUUUGUGCCUUCGGGAACUGUGAGACAGGUGCUGCAUGGCUGUCGUCAGCUCGUGUUGUGAAAUGUUGGGUUAAGUCCCGCAACGAGCGCAACCCUUAUCCUUUGUUGCCAGCGGUUAGGCCGGGAACUCAAAGGAGACUGCCAGUGAUAAACUGGAGGAAGGUGGGGAUGACGUCAAGUCAUCAUGGCCCUUACGACCAGGGCUACACACGUGCUACAAUGGCGCAUACAAAGAGAAGCGACCUCGCGAGAGCAAGCGGACCUCAUAAAGUGCGUCGUAGUCCGGAUUGGAGUCUGCAACUCGACUCCAUGAAGUCGGAAUCGCUAGUAAUCGUGGAUCAGAAUGCCACGGUGAAUACGUUCCCGGGCCUUGUACACACCGCCCGUCACACCAUGGGAGUGGGUUGCAAAAGAAGUAGGUAGCUUAACCUUCGGGAGGGCGCUUACCACUUUGUGAUUCAUGACUGGGGUGAAGUCGUAACAAGGUAACCGUAGGGGAACCUGCGGUUGGAUCACCUCCUUACCUUAAAGAA
rnacentral:rRNA from 29 species